rnacentral:rRNA from 1 species
GCUAUAAUGCAAGUCGACGCACAGCGAAAGGUGCUUGCACCUUUCAAGUGAGUGGCGAACGGGUGAGUAACACGUGGACAACCUGCCUCAAGGCUGGGGAUAACAUUUGGAAACAGAUGCUAAUACCGAAUAAAACUUAGUGUCGCAUGACACAAAGUUAAAAGGCGCUUCGGCGUCACCUAGAGAUGGAUCCGCGGUGCAUUAGUUAGUUGGUGGGGUAAAGGCCUACCAAGACAAUGAUGCAUAGCCGAGUUGAGAGACUGAUCGGCCACAUUGGGACUGAGACACGGCCCAAACUCCUACGGGAGGCUGCAGUAGGGAAUCUUCCACAAUGGGCGAAAGCCUGAUGGAGCAACGCCGCGUGUGUGAUGAAGGCUUUCGGGUCGUAAAGCACUGUUGUAUGGGAAGAACAGCUAGAAUAGGAAAUGAUUUUAGUUUGACGGUACCAUACCAGAAAGGGACGGCUAAAUACGUGCCAGCAGCCGCGGUAAUACGUAUGUCCCGAGCGUUAUCCGGAUUUAUUGGGCGUAAAGCGAGCGCAGACGGUUUAUUAAGUCUGAUGUGAAAGCCCGGAGCUCAACUCCGGAAUGGCAUUGGAAACUGGUUAACUUGAGUGCAGUAGAGGUAAGUGGAACUCCAUGUGUAGCGGUGGAAUGCGUAGAUAUAUGGAAGAACACCAGUGGCGAAGGCGGCUUACUGGACUGCAACUGACGUUGAGGCUCGAAAGUGUGGGUAGCAAACAGGAUUAGAUACCCUGGUAGUCCACACCGUAAACGAUGAACACUAGGUGUUAGGAGGUUUCCGCCUCUUAGUGCCGAAGCUAACGCAUUAAGUGUUCCGCCUGGGGAGUACGACCGCAAGGUUGAAACUCAAAGGAAUUGACGGGGACCCGCACAAGCGGUGGAGCAUGUGGUUUAAUUCGAAGCAACGCGAAGAACCUUACCAGGUCUUGACAUCCUUUG